AACCACUAGUGGAAAACCAACGAAGAAGAUAAGUCUUCUUCUAAUUCAUUAAUUAGUUUAUUAUUAUUAUAUUUUAUUUUAUCAUUUGUGAUGUUUAUCAUAUGACCAUUACUGUGACACGUGUAUAGCCUGACCACACUACAUACCUUUAUUUUUAUUAUUUUAUCGCCUCACAAUUACUAUAGCUCGUGGCAUUGUCUGACCAAAUUAGAUAUCCUCAUUAUUUGAAUGAAAAUAUAUUUAUAUAAUAUAUUGUGUGUCUCCCCAUUGUCAUUAUAUUAAGAUUACAUGCUACACUAGUCACGUUAUGGUCAGAACGCUUUCCAUCAUAUUUCACUAGUGACAUACAUAUUUAGGCAAUUACUUAUGCAAUAUUUAUUCAUUGCCUAGUGAUAUUGUGAUGCCUUUAACUGUGUCACAUAUGAAACAAGUCAUUGACCACACAAUUUGCAUAGUAUGACUUUAUACUUUUGCCAAACUCUGUGAUUGAUUUAUUAAUUAUGCAUUCAUGCUUAUACUAUUAUUUAUUGUCAGGACUCCAUUGAUCAACAUUGUUACUGAUCAACUUAUAGAUCGAUGAGCCACAUGCUUAUGAUGACAAAGAUUUAGUCUGAACGGUGAUCUCUUGUUUGACCGGACACCAGCUUGCUCGGACACUCGUUUAUUUGGACACCUAUGUGCUCGGACACCCAUUCGUUUGGGCACUUACAAGAUUGGACACCCACAUGCUUGGAC
rnacentral:lncRNA from 1 species